AUUGAACGCUGGCGGCAUGCCUUACACAUGCAAGUCGAACGGCAGCACGGGAGCUUGCUCCUGGUGGCGAGUGGCGAACGGGUGAGUAAAGCGAUCGGAACGUGCCCUGAAGUGGGGAUAACGUAGCGAAAGUUACGCUAAUACUGCAUAUUCUGUGAGCAGGAAAAGCAGGGGAUCUUCGGACCUUGUGCUUUAGGAGCGGCCGAUGUCGGAUUAGCUAGUUGGUGAGGUAAAGGCUCACCAAGGCGACGAUCCGUAGCGGGUCUGAGAGGAUGAUCCGCCACACUGGGACUGAGACACGGCCCAGACUCCUACGGGAGGCAGCAGUGGGGAAUUUUGGACAAUGGGCGCAAGCCUGAUCCAGCCAUGCCGCGUGAGUGAAGAAGGCCUUCGGGUUGUAAAGCUCUUUCGGCGGGGAAGAAAUUGCACUCUCUAAUACAGGGUGUAGAUGACGGUACCCGCAUAAGAAGCACCGGCUAACUACGUG
rnacentral:rRNA from 1 species